UUACGAGAAAGUGGGGUAAGUAAUUGUACCUGACCAUCGGCAGUGAAAGAGAUAGAAGCCUGAAGGCGAGACAGUACAUCAGCUCCUAAGAGGUUAAUAGGACAGGUGGAUGAAACAACGAAACGGGAAAGGAUGUUAGAACCAACAUGCAAGAGUUUUGUUAAUGGGUUAUUUCGGGGGGUACCAUCAACACCCACACAAGAAACAUCGAGGUCAGACAAGUAAGAAGGAUCUGGCAGGUCUUGUUCUCUGAGAACACUGCGGGCUGCACCUGUGUCAACUAGGAAGGUAGUGGGAUGACCCUCAACUGGUAAUACUACGGUAGCUAGGGGCCCCCCUUUAUCCCCUGCAGACACUGCCAUAACAGGGGUGUCAGACACAGGUUUGCCGGUUACCUAUUGUACAAGAUCUAGGUGAGACUGAUCGGGGCCAGUGUAAUGACGUGUAGUAGGGUGACUUGUUUGAUGGUUUUGGCGGGUAGGGCGAUAAUGAGUAGGUGCUGAGUGAUCAGUCUGUUGAAAGUCAUUUGAAUCAUAAGUAUCUGGGGGAGGAUGUAUGUUGAAU